GAUGAACGCUAGCGGAAGGCAUAAUACAUGCAAGUCGAACGGAUGUAGCAAUACAUUAGUGGCGCACGGGUGCGUAACGCGUAUGCAACCUACCUUCAUCAGGGGGAUAACUACCCGAAAGGGUGGCUAACACCGCAUAAUACUAUUGAGUGGCAUCACUUGAUAUUUAAAUCUGAGGAGGAUGAAGAUGGGCAUGCGUCUGAUUAGCUAGUUGGUGUGGUAACGGCGCACCAAGGCGACGAUCAGUAGGGGAACUGAGAGGUUGGUCCCCCACACUGGCACUGAGAUACGGGCCAAACUCCUACGGGAGGCAGCAGUAGGGAAUAUUGGUCAAUGGUGGGAACAUUGAACCAGCCAUUCCGCGUGCAGGAAGAAGGGUCUCUGACUUGUAAACUGCUUUAGCAAGGGAAGAAAAAGCUCAUGCGUGAGAAAUUGACGGUACCUUGAGAAUAAGCACCGGCUAACUACGUGCCAGCCGCCGCCGUAAGAC
rnacentral:rRNA from 1 species